rnacentral:rRNA from 1 species
UACGUAGGGUGCGAGCGUUGUCCGGAAUUACUGGGCGUAAAGAGCUCGUAGGUGGUUUGUCGCGUUGUUCGUGAAAUCUCACGGCUUAACUGUGAGCGUGCGGGCGAUACGGGCAGACUAGAGUACUGCAGGGGAGACUGGAAUUCCUGGUGUAGCGGUGGAAUGCGCAGAUAUCAGGAGGAACACCGGUGGCGAAGGCGGGUCUCUGGGCAGUAACUGACGCUGAGGCGCGAAAGCGUGGGGAUCAAACAGG